GGAUGACACUGGAUUGUAGCCAGUGAGACCUUGAAGCAGAGACUCCUGAUAAGCUGCCCUUGGAUUGCACCAGUGGAAACUAUGAAACAAGAAAAGAAACUAAACUUACAGGAAAUGAUUAAGCAGAACAAAUAUAUCCAGAUAAUAAUUUCAUUCAUCAUGACUAAUCUAGUUGACUGAGCCGAAAUCAAGUUCUAUGACUGAAAGAUAUCAGCCAUUGAUACCUGAAAGUCAACAGAAAUGCAGCAAGCUCUUGAAGGAAUAUCAAAUUCAACUCAUGAAUACUUUUAAAUAACUUCAGAUUAUAUAUGGGCUUACUUUGAAUUCAUGAG